rnacentral:rRNA from 1 species
GAUGAACGCUGGCGGCGUGCCUAAUACAUGCAAGUCGAGCGAACGGACGAGAAGCUUGCUUCUCUGAUGUUAGCGGCGGACGGGUGAGUAACACGUGGAUAACCUACCUAUAAGACUGGGAUAACUUCGGGAAACCGGAGCUAAUACCGGAUAAUAUUUUGAACCGCAUGGUUCAAAAGUGAAAGACGGUCUUGCUGUCACUUAUAGAUGGAUCCGCGCUGCAUUAGCUAGUUGGUAAGGUAACGGCUUACCAAGGCAACGAUGCAUAGCCGACCUGAGAGGGUGGUCGGCCACACUGGAACUGAAACACGGUCCAGGCUCCUACGGGAGGCAGCAGUAGGGAAUCUUCCGCAAUGGGCGAAAGCCUGACGGAGCAACGCCGCGUGAGUGAUGAAGGUCUUCGGAUCGUAAAACUCUGUUAUUAGGGAAGAACAUAUGUGUAAGUAACUGUGCACAUCUUGACGGUACCUAAUCAGAAAGCCACGGCUAACUACGUG